rnacentral:rRNA from 1 species
AAUCAACGCUGGCGGCGUGCCUCAGACAUGCAAGUCGAACGAUUAAAGCUCUCUUCGGAGAGUGCAUAGAGUGGCGCACGGGUGAGUAACACGUAAGUAAUCUACCCUCGAGUGGGGAAUAACAGUCGGAAACGACUGCUAAUACCGCAUAAUGCAGCGGCACCGCAAGGUGACAGUUGUUAAAGGAGCAAUCCGCUUGAGGAGGAGCUUGCGGCAGAUUAGCUAGUUGGUAAGGUAAUGGCUUACCAAGGCUACGAUCUGUAUCCGGUCUAAGAGGACGGUCGGACACACUGACACUGAAUAACGGGUCAGACUCCUACGGGAGGCAGCAGUCGGGAAUUUUGGGCAAUGGGCGAAAGCCUGACCCAGCAACGCCGCGUGAAGGAUGAAGUAUUUCGGUAUGUAAACUUCGAAAGAAUGGGAAGAAUAAAUGACGGUACCAUUUAUAAGCUCCGGCUAACUACGUGCCAGCCGCCGCCGUAACAC